AAUCAUUCUUACUCACUUUGCAGCAAUUCAAAGUUAUAAAAUCAGUUCUGACUCUUAGUAUAUGAGAAAUUUGCAAGCACAAACCAUAUUACUUAAUCAUAUUACUUACCAUGGUUCGUUUUCUAUUGGGAAACCUUACACCUAAGAUCCUUGUUCAAUCACUGAAUUCCAUGCCUCGCCUAGCUGCAUCCCUCAAAAUGGUGAGACGUGGAGGAGCAAGAGGAUCAAAUCACAGCCAUGGAGGCGGUGGAGAGAGAGGGUCAGAAGACCUCAGCGAUGGGAAGGGAGGAGAACAUAAUAAGGUGGUGCUGAAGAAUUCAGAAUGAUGUAUAACAGUUAGCAAUUUAGCAAGCUGCUUUAAAAGACUAGUGAUUUUGAGUGUUCCUAAUUAUCAGUGAUUGUAUGAGUGAUUUGGUAGCACAAUUCAGUAGUUUUGUUUUGUGAUUCAUAGCGUGAAAGUAUUAAAAUUAUUAACUAUUACAUUACUUGA